UACGUAGGGUGCGAGCGUUGUCCGGAAUUACUGGGCGUAAAGAGCUCGUAGGUGGUUUGUCGCGUUGUUCGUGAAAACUCACAGCUUAACUGUGGGCGUGCGGGCGAUACGGGCAGCCUGGAGUACUGCAGGGGAGACUGGAAUUCCUGGUGUAGCGGUGGAAUGCGCAGAUAUCAGGAGGAACACCGGUGGCGAAGGCGGGUCUCUGGGCAGUAACUGACGCUGAGACGCGAAAGCGUGGGGAGCAAACAGG
rnacentral:rRNA from 1 species